GCCAAGUUAUAGGGCCACUACCAUGUUCCAAGUCGCAGGCCCAAAUUCAUAGUCAAGUUUUUGGAGCGUGUCAGAAAAACUGACAAGUUGAGGCCAUUCUAAUCUCCAAAGGAAGAAUAUCCAUAAGGCAGAGGCUACAGCAGGAAACAACAGUCUUCUAGUUUCCACCAAUCAAUACACUUUGGCUGGCAGGAUCUGCAGCAUGUUCAGUCUGCUGGAUCUGAUUUCUGAUACAUCAAGAUGAGUAGCCUCAGAUCACCCCAACAUACAGUGGUGAUGCUUCCUUGGAAAACAGACCCAGUGAGUUUGGAGGACACCAAGCUGGGGAAGACUAAAGUAGAAUGAACUACCGGGAGGUACUGGAGACUCUGUAGGAUUGUGGCAUUAAAUACAAAGUUCUGCUCCCUCACAAAUGGCAUCGCUCCCUAUUUAUCAUUUGGACAUCUUCAGAAUGCAUGACUGGCAGCUUGUGCACAUUUCAAUGGUCAAAAUAUCUCCUUGGCUUGCAGCCAAAAGAAUCCAUAGUAGUGAUAGAAAGCAUUUUCUCCGUGGGGAAGGGGGGAUUUCCAUUUUCCAAAUAAAGAACAUCCUUAGA